AAGAAGAUCUAAAAAAAAAAAAGGCAAUGUCAGUGAUGAAAAGUGGGUGAUGAAUACAUAGGGAAGAAGCCAGUUGAGAUUUUUAAAAAAAAAUCUUGAAACACAAACUUGGACAUUGGAGCCUUAGCUUUUAGAAUCCUCCCUCAAAGAAAGAAAAAUACAUGUUUUUCUCCCCCACUAUAUUGUCACUUCCUCGAGGAAGGACAAGGGCUCAUGUAUUCUGUUUAUCUGCAUGCCUAGAGCCUGACCCAAACCUACGUGUGAACUAAUGCAAGCAGCUAAUGCCGAGCCUAACAUGCUCCAUAUGUGUUAGAAGUUUUAAGGUGAAUAAAAGAACUGGCCUUUUUCUUCCUUUAGCCCUGUGAGACAGACAUUCUCCACUUAAAUUAUCAGCCACAGGGCAUCCGUGGUUGGGACUCCACACAGAUGCUAAUGAAUUUGGAACAACAUUUAAGUGGCUGAACAAAAAUGGAUCCUAAACACCCCAAAUCAAGUGCAACAAACAAGAAAUAGGCUGACACAUUUCUAUCAGGAAGGCACCCAGAAUGUCAAACUCUUGAAUGAU
rnacentral:antisense_RNA from 1 species